rnacentral:rRNA from 1 species
GACGAACGUUGGCGGCGUGCUUAACACAUGCAAGUCGAACGGAAAGGCCCUGCUUUUGUGGGGUGCUCGAGUGGCGAACGGGCGAGUAACACGUGAGUAACCUGCCCUUGAUUUUGGGAUAACUUCAGGAAACUGGGGCUAAUACCGGAUAGGUGCUCCCGAUGCAUGGUGGGGGUUGGAAAGUUUCGGCGGUUGGGGAUGGACUCGCGGCUUAUCAGCUUGUUGGUGGGGUAGUGGCUUACCAAGGCUUUGACGGGUAGCCGGCCUGAGAGGGUGACCGGCCACAUUGGGACUGAGAUACGGCCUAGACUCCUACGGGGGGCAGCAGUGGUAGAGUUUGAACCAGGGUCGGAAUCCUGGUGCAGCAACGGCGCGUGCGGGUUGACGGCCAUCGGGUUGUAAACCGCUUUCGCCUUUAGCGGAGCGUGAGUAGCGGUAAUGGGUAAAGAAUCACCGGCUUGCUUCUUG